GCCAGGUGUGGUGGCGGGCACCUGUAGUCCCAGCUACUCGGGAGGCUGAGGCAGGAGAAUUGCUUGAACCCAGGAGGCAGAGGUUGCAGUGAGCCAAGAUCAUGCCACUGCACUCCAGCCUGGGUGACAGAGCAAGACUCUGUCUCCA
rnacentral:SRP_RNA from 1 species